rnacentral:rRNA from 1 species
GAGUUUGAUCCUGGCUCAGAACGAACGCUGGCGGCGUGCUUAACACAUGCAAGUCAGGGAGAAAGUCUCUUCGGGGAUGAUUAAACCGGCGCACGGGUGAGUAACACGUGAGUGGCCUGCCUUUUAGACUGGAACAACUUACCGAAAGGUGAGCUAAUGCCGGAUGAGUUAUAUAAGUGCAUGUUUAUAUAGGAAAAGUUGGGGAGACCUGACGCUGAAAGAUGGACUCGCGUCCCAUUAGCUAGUUGGUAGGGUAAUGGCCUACCAAGGCGACGAUGGGUAGCCGGCCUGAGAGGGUGGCCGGCCACACUGGGACUGAGACACGGCCCAGACUCCUACGGGAGGCAGCAGUGGGGAAUUUUGCGCAAUGCUCGUAAGAGUGACGCAGCGACGCCGCGUGAAUGACGAAGGCCUUCGGGUCGUAAAGUUCUUUCGACAGGGAAGAAAAUGCCUAUAAGUAACUGUGUAUGUAUUGACGGUACCUGUAUAAGCAGCCCCGGCUAACUCCGUGCCAGCAGCCGCGGUAAUACGGAGGGGGCGAGCGUUGUUCGGAGUGACUGGGCGUAAAGAGCACGUAGGCGGUGUUGUAAGUCAUUAGUCAAAGACUAGAGCUCAACUUUAGUAAGGCUAGUGAUACUAUAAUACUAGAGUAUCAGAGAGGAUUGCAGAAUUCCUGGUGUAGCGGUGAAAUGCGUAGAUAUCAGGAGGAAUACCGUUAGCGA